rnacentral:rRNA from 1 species
GACGAACGCUGGCGGCGUGCUUAACACAUGCAAGUCGAACGGAAAGGCCCUGCUUUUGUGGGGUGCUCGAGUGGCGAACGGGUGAGUAACACGUGAGUAACCUGCCCUUGACUUUGGGAUAACUUCAGGAAACUGGGGCUAAUACCGGAUAGGAGCUCCUGCUGCAUGGUGGGGGUUGGAAAGUUUCGGCGGUUGGGGAUGGACUCGCGGCUUAUCAGCUUGUUGGUGGGGUAGCGGCUUACCAAGGCUUUGACGGGUAGCCGGCCUGAGAGGGUGACCGGCCACAAUGGGACUGAGGAACGGGCCAGAACCCUACGGGAGGCAGGAGGGGGGAAUAUUGCACAAUGGGCGGAAGCCUGAUGCAGCAACGCCGCGUGCGGGAUGACGGCCUUCGGGUUGUAAACCGCUUUCGCCUGUGACGAAGCGUGAGUGACGGUAAUGGGUAAAGAAGCACCGGCUAACUACGUG